rnacentral:rRNA from 1 species
UACGGAGGGGGCUAGCGUUGUUCGGAAUUACUGGGCGUAAAGCGCGCGCAGGCGGCCUUUCAAGUCAGGGGUGAAAGCCCGGAGCUCAACUCCGGAAUUGCCUUUGAAACUGUCAGGCUCGAGUACGGGAGAGGUGAGUGGAAUUCCCAGUGUAGAGGUGAAAUUCGUAGAUAUUGGGAAGAACACCGGUGGCGAAGGCGGCUCACUGGCCCGUUUCUGACGCCCAGGCGCGACAGCGUGGGGAUCAAACAGG